GACCAUAUAGUUUAAACAAAAUAAUAGAUUGCAAGUCUGGAGAAGGGUUACCCUAUGGUCU
rnacentral:tRNA from 1 species